rnacentral:rRNA from 1 species
GGAGGUUACUGCUAUCGGUGUUCGCCUAACCCAUGCGAGUCAUAUGUUCUUCGUGAACAUGGCGUACUGCUCAUUAACACGUGAAUAACCUGCCCUUGGGACCGGCAUAACCCCGGGAAACUGGGGAUAAUUCCGGAUGCCGCAUAUAUGCUGGAAUGCUUUAUGCGUGAAAUGGAUUCUUCUGCCCAAGGAUGGGUCUGCGGCCUAUCAGGUAGUAGUGGGUGUAAUGUACCUACUACCCUACAACGGGUACGGGUUGUGAGAGCAAAAGCCCGGAAAUGGAUUCUGAAACAUGAAUCCAGGCCCUACGGGGCGCACCAGGCGCGAAAACUUUACAAUGCGGGAAACCGUGAUAAGGGGACACCGAGUGCCACCAACAUUUGUUGGCUGUCCAGGUGUGUAAACUACACCUGUUAGCAAGGGCCGGGCAAGACCGGUGC